AGGGAAAAAUCCUUAUGCAAUGUCUGUAUUAAGUUGAGUUGCGAAGGAACUCGAUGCUCCAGAUAUGGCUGAUACAAUAGAGCAAGUGGAUUAUGUACUUCAUUAGCAAGCAAGUUUUGGUAGCAUGGUGAAUUCAGGUCCUCUUCUCCAGUCAAUUGUCACUAUCCCAUUCGCGAGUGUAAUGGAUUCUGUUUCACAAGUCUACUUCCAAUAUGAGAGGAAAACAGCAUUUGGGCCUCUUAAGAAGAAGAUAAUACAUGCCUGUUGCAAGUUUGAGUCAUCCUUGAUAAAAAGGUUCAAAGGGGUAGAAGAGUUGAGGAAAACAGCAUUUGGGCCUCUUAAAAAUGUCUACCCAGAUUGAGGAGGACAUUGAUGCAGAAGAGUUGCAGGCAGGUGGAAGCAUUUCAGCAAGAGCUUACAUUGGAACAACAUGUUGAUCGAUCAACAUAUAUAAAAUGCUGAGAUUUUUAAGGGCCCAGCAAGUGUGGGAUGAUAUGCUCAACUUGAGGAAGGAAUUUUUCUGUUCAACUGUGAGAGACUGAUCUAAUCAGUGGGAUGCCAAACUGAUCGAGAUUUAAUUAGUUUAGGACUGGGUUCUACUCUACACUCAUCCUUGCAACUCUUGAUAUUUGACAAGGUGAAAAUCAGCAAUGUUGUUCUCUUAAUGCAAGCUAAGAUGAAUCUAGAGAUCUGGUAGAGACAAUAAUGAAUCACUGAGUUUAGGCGCACAAUGAUCUAUGUAGAAUGCAUUGUAAAGUGCUUUCAAGAAGAUUUUGGAUUUUUGGUAGCACCCUUGCCUGGUGUAUUACAUCUCGACUUUUCCGGUCAAUUCUCAGCAUUACCAGAAGCAGUCUGGAAGUGCCAACAUGGACUCUGCAUCGUACAUCUGCAUACCGAAGCAAUCAGUUUGAUUUUGCAUAGCUCGUGUCAUAGAGAGGCCAUGAUCCUACCUCUGCAGGUUAACAAUUCAGUGUUGCAGCUCUAUCUCUGGAAGAAUUGGUGUAGGAGAAUAUUAUGGAGUUUAGCAACUGGAUCAAAGGUUUUUCUAUAAGCCUUGCUCUUGGAGUUUAGCAUGAAUGCUGAAGUCUGGGGUUAUUAUUCAAGCUUAGUUAAUCCGCAAAGAGCCUAUUCUGUGACACUAGCCGGAACAUCUCAAUGACUCAUGUCUAGCUACAAGGAAGUUAAUGAAACAGCAGAUAACUUGCCAAGGUCGAUCAUCCUUAGCCAUUGAUUUAUAACUUUUGGCUAAAGAAGUCUUAUGGAUUUGUAAAGACCCGUUAUGCAAUAUUGUAAAUGCAAUGCAAGUUUCUUUCGCGGUUAGGUGCCAGACUUCAUGAAAGAAAAGAACGGGAAAUGCACCCUACGUAGUUGAAUUUCAGAUACUUGCAGCUUUCUGUGCCACAUGAACUUUUUUUUAUAUGGGAACUGAUUCCUUUCCCUUUCUUCCAAAUUUUUGUUGUAUAUCUGGGGAAAAUGUUGAGACUUGAGAAUUCUAGAGAUAGAUUAAAUAAACAAGGUACAGUCGUAU